GUACGUCCACUCCCUGCCCCGGUACAACCCCCAGCUCUGCCCAGCAGCCCAGCGAUGGGCAGAAACGCUCCGUCCCUCCAAGAUAGUGUGAGCAUCAGGCACUUCUGAAUGACCUUUAGUAAGGCACAGGAAGCUAGUAGCAGCAUCCAAAACCUGAAGAUACCUCCAUUUAUGUUUGGAUCAUGAUACAAUUUCCAGCCUUCCAAAGUUGCAGCUCUCCAGGCCUGACCACAUCGUUUGCAUAAGCGCUGUGCCUGAAAAAUAAUGGAUUUUCUCAGCAACACACUUUAAGAUUGUCAAUCCCUGCUGAUUCUGAACUGACAAUCAAACGACCAGUCAAAUGAAGAACUGUGUCUAAAAUCAGAGACACCUUAGAGCCAGUGCUGAGUCCUCUACGGCCAGCUUGUUAGUAACGCAGCAGAAAACUUAAAGCAUCAUAAUACAAUGAUUUUAUUUAUUUAUACCUGAGAAAAAUAAGUACAUUUUAAUCCAGCUUAUUGACACUAAGAAAAAUAUCUGUACAUCUGCUACCGUGAGUUGCCACUUGACACUUGCAGUGGAGUGGCAGCCAGAUGACAUUUUUUAGUAUUCAGCAACUACACCACGGGUAUUUCUGUGCCAAAGUAGUGUAUGAAGAAAGAGUGAUGUUCAUCAUUGAGUGAUACUCAAUGCUAGCAUGACUCGUAACACUGCAACCAGCUGGAAGAUUUAAAGUAUGUUAAGCACUCUGACUUCUCAGCAAAACUGCUUUGAGAAGGGCAAGUAAACUACUUACCUGACUGUUACAAAUAUUUUCAUACUCAUCCACAAGAUCAAAAAUGGUAGUUGAUGUAUGCUUCAGGAAGGAAUGCAGAAAAUCUGAGUACAUGCUCAUAGUAGCUAGGACAGAUUUAAUAAGAAAGCCAUAUUAGUCAGAUGCAACUUCAUAAAAAAACCCCAACAGACUACAAAAAAAUUCUUCUGAUGACAAGGCAUCUCAUCUUUCACAAAUUUAAAUGAGAACAUUGAUGAUAUCAACUAUUUAGAUCCGAUAAAGUCAUAAGAACUUAUCAGCUAAGACAGCAAGACAGACAGAAGCUAUGAACUAAGUAAAAUAAUUAGAAAACUUUUGCUGUGGAUAUGUCAUCUGCAAAAGUUUUAAAAGCAAACUCAUUUGAGUAUCUCCCCAGUCCACUAAUCCAGUUGUGUCUGACAUCACCAGAGCAUCCCAAUUUUUCCAUCAGGUUCCCCAGAAGACACAAAUUCGCAAAACUCCAAUAAACUGGAACAGCUUAAUUUUCUGAACUUUUUCAACUAGACUGUUUUUGACUAAGAAAUAGCAGCAAAAUAAUAGAGAAAAAACCCCAAACAUAUAAAUUUAUAUCCCACAAAUAAGAUUAUUAUGAAAACUCCAGAUUGUCUCACCAGCUUCCCCAGGAUCAUCCUCACGCAACAGUACAGCACUCAUAGUGACAUCUUCUGUCAUAUUGGACAGGUCUGGAUUUACAAACAUUCCUGUCUGCUGAGGCGAGAGUGCCAUUGUCCAGCUACUUUCAUCCAACUAAAACCACAAGAACAUAAAGAAAAUAAAUCGCAGUCUCAGAUAUUA